UGCGAAUGGCUCAUUAAAUCAGUUAUAGUUUAUUUGAUGGUUACUCACUACUUGGAUAACCGUAGUAAUUCUAGAGCUAAUACAUGCAGAAAAUCCCUACUCCUGGAUGGGAUGUAUUUAUUAGAUCCAAAACCAGCGCAGGUUACCUUCGGGUUCCUGGUUGCUCGGUGAUUCAUGAUAACUGCUCGAACCGUAUGGCCUUUGUGCCGACGGUGCUUCAUUCAAAUUUCUGCCCUAUCAACUUUCGAUGGUACGGUAGUGGCCUACCAUGGUUGCAACGGGUGACGGAGAAUUAGGGUUCGAUUCCGGAGAGGGAGCCUGAGAAACGGCUACCACAUCCAAGGAAGGCAGCAGGCGCGCAAAUUACCCAAUCCCGACUCGGGGAGGUAGUGACAAUAAAUAACAAUGCCGGGCUAUACUAGUCUGGCAAUUGGAAUGAGCACAAUCUAAAUCCCUUAACGAGGAACAAUUGGAGGGCAAGUCUGGUGCCAGCAGCCGCGGUAAUUCCAGCUCCAAUAGCGUAUAUUAAAGUUGUUGCAGUUAAAAAGCUCGUAGUUGGAUUUCGGGGCAGCCUGGCUGGUCCGUCGCGAGACGAGUACUGGUCAGCCGCCCUUCCUCUCGAAAGCCCCGACUGCUCUUCACUGCAGUGGUCGGGUAGUUCGGGACGUUUACUUUGAAAAAAUUAGAGUGUUCAAGGCAGGCUUUCGCCUGAAUACAUUAGCAUGGAAUAAUGGAAGAGGACCUCGGUCCUAUUUUGUUGGUUUCUGGGGCCGAAGUAAUGAUUAAGAGGGACAGUUGGGGGCAUUCGUAUUUAAUUGUCAGAGGUGAAAUUCUCGGAUUUAUGAAAGACGAACAACUGCGAAAGCAUUUGCCAAGGAUGUUUUCAUUAAUCAAGAACGAAAGUUAGGGGUUCGAAGACGAUCAGAUACCGUCGUAGUCCUAACCAUAAACUAUGCCGACUAGGGAUCGGUGGAUGUUAGCGUUUGACUCCAUCGGCACCUUAUGAGAAAUCAAAGUCUUUGGGUUCCGGGGGGAGUAUGGUCGCAAGGC
rnacentral:rRNA from 1 species